rnacentral:rRNA from 1 species
GACAAACGCUGGCGGCGUGCCUAACACAUGCAAGUCGAACGAGGGCGCGGCUUCGGCCGGUGCCCGAGUGGCGGACGGGUGAGUGACACGUGGAUGACCUGCCCGGUGGUGGGGGAUACCUCCCAGAAAUGGGGGCUAAUACCGCAUAGGUUUGUAUGGCAGACGUACAAACAAAGCCUUACGCAAGUAAGGCGCCAGAGGAGGGGUCCGCGGCCGAUUAGCUAGUUGGUGGGGUAAGCGCUCACCAAGGCGACGAUCGGGAGCUGGUCUGAGAGGA